UCAAAACACUGACAAAUCAAAACACCGACAAACCAAAAUGCCGACAUGUGAAAAAUAUUUUAUCUUGUCUGCCCUUAUUUCUAUCGAAGAACAGAAAGAGAAUUCACUGACUAAGAGUUAUGAUCCGACAAAUCGGUAUUGUGAUUGUCGGGAUUCUAAAAUUCGAGAUUUUGAUUGUCGGCAUUUCAUUAUACACAACGGAUCAACACCUGGACGUGAUCAGCCCUGGUCUGACCAAGACCUGGGCGUUCUUAGUUCUUUCGCGUUGAACUCCUUUUAGCUUUGGCAGCCUUCGGUCGCGUGUUAAAAAAAUAACCCUGGUCGGACCAACACCAGGACGUGAUCAGUUCUUUCGCCUUUAACUUCUUAGAAGUCUUCAGCCAUAGAACUUGAUUUUGCAAAUAUUUUUCAAAAAUUUUUUUAAGAAGUCUGUAUGAUUUGUCGGUGUUUUGAUUUGUCGGUAUUUUGAUUUAGCUGCAUAUUUAAAUUUUGUCGAUAUUUUGAUGUGUCAUUUUGAAUUUCGACAUUUUAAGUGUAUCCCCCACCUUUUCUUGAUUUGUCGGUAUUUUGACUGUCGAAAUUGCAAAUUUCGAGUUUUUAUUGUCGGCAUUACGUUAUACACCCCGAACGGAGAGACGCGGAUACCGUGCUUUAGGAGAAAUUGCCACAUAGAUUUUGGAAAUUGCGGAGGUAUAAAAUGUCCGAGCUAAUCCGAACUUUGCCUUUUCUUACUUCUGUAAAUAAUUUUUUACUUAGAAAGCCUUUAGUCUUAUUAGGCACCUAAUAUUGAAUAUUAAAACUCUCUGAGAGACCAUGAAGCUUUAUUUCAUACCUAUAUUAAUGAAUGGUAUAUAAAAAAAUAAAAUAACAGAAGUUUAUAAAUAUA